rnacentral:lncRNA from 1 species
UGCUUGCUUGUUAGCUGAACCGUGAAGUCAUUAUUAAGUAAGGUAUACUACCCUCCUGUAGAAGUAGCCUAAUCCUACAGACAGAUUGAUUGGUUAUCUGUCGAACUAGUCUUCUCUUAAAGGAGGGUAGUUUACCUAACCUUAUAAUACAAGCAAGAUAACCGAGGAAGCUACCUUUGCCUACACACUCAAUGCAAUCGGCUGUAACUUCUUUACAUUAUAGGUUGCAACACCUUGCCAAAUUAUUGGGUUCCAAUAAUCGUUUGGAAAAUUAAGUCAAUGCGCUUUCCCAUAGGGUUUUAUGCAGAACAAUUACCGAAAAUCUAUUAUGGAAGCUUGCAAAAACAAUAUCAAAAUCGAAAUCUAACUGAACAAUGAAGUUAAUCACAUUAAAAAAGGUUGAGACGUUGAAGGCCAAAUAAGUUUUCAUAUUUCAUAUUCUUGCGUGUCUUAUUAUAAUUAGACGAUCAUUACAAAGAAAUUUAAUAUCAAGACAAAAAUUAAUGUAGAGUUUCAUUGGUAAAAUUAACACUACAAUACAAAUAAAGGAUUCUCAAAUGAUCAUGACUUUUGCUUCAAGUAAAAUGAUCAAUUAAUCAAUUAAUCAAUCAAUCAAUUGAUCAAUCAAUAAAAUUGAGAAUGGAAAUACAAAACGUGUAAAAGAAACAACACAGCAUAACCAAAGAGCACAGCCGAAGGCCACCAAUGGGUCUUCAACACAACGAGAAAAUCCCUCAACCAGAGGCGUGCUUCAGCUGGUCUCUAAAAAAAAUAUAUACUAGUUAGGUGAAAAUGGACGUCACACUUAACUUAGAUAAAAAAAACCAAGAAAAAAACAUAAAAAACUAACAAAGACCGGAGUAUCCUGACUUGGGACAGGCGCAAAAAUGCGGCGGGGUUAAACAUGCUUUGUGAGAUCUGACCCUCCCAACUAUACAACUAUAGCUAGCUAAUGUAGAAUGAACAAACAAACAACAAUAUGCGCAGCAAAACUACGUUUAAAAGAAAUCCGAGUUCGAUGUCAGAAUAGUAAACAAAAGAAACUACGCAAAAUAAAUAUAAUUCAUAAAUUGACAAAGAACUGCUAGCAGUAACUGACAUGCCAGUUCCAGACCCCAAUUAAACAUAUCGAAAUAAUAUAUAGAUAUAAGAAGAUGUGGAAUAAGUGCUAAUGAGACAACUCUCCAUAAAGUCACAGUUUGUAAAAGUAAACUAUUAUAGGUCAAAGUACCCUCUUCAACACGAAUCCUUGGCUCACACCGAAUAGCAAGUCAAAAAGAUACCCCAAAAUGACUAGUGUAAAACCAUUCGAACGGGAAAACCAACGGUCUUUAUAACUAUGUAAAAAACGAGAAGCGAGAACCACAUCAACAAACAACAACUACUGUUUUUUUUGUGAUUAUUUGAUUACUGAACCUAAUAUUUCAUGAUUUUUUAUUAUCUAGGACUGUAUUUUUGAUUGAUAACCAA